CUGUGUAACUCUUCAUGUGUGUCCACACUGCCGGUGCUCUCUGCCAGACUGGAUACAGACGGACAGCUACUGUUGAGAAUCAAAGCCGCAGAUGAAAGCAAAACCUGGAGCAGGAAUAUGAUAAAUGUACUAGGACCUGAUGUUCAUGUCAAGAACAUUGGAAGGAUCCACGUCGUCCAGUUCGCUCCUGAGGGAGUGUUUGGUUGUAUUUUAAAAGACCCCUUGCUCAUUGAUUCUUUAGUAAGAGAACCAGUUGAAAUUCUGGAGAGAGAUUUAAGGAAGAAACGACAUGCUGAUCAGAGUGAGGUUUCCGAGCCUCUUCCACGGAUCCCAAAUCCCAUCGCAUGUCUGUCCCCAAAUGAUAUGCUCAUCUUUCAGCUCACCAUCAACCACACCGACCGCCACUACAGUCACUUCCCAGUGUACCAGAAGGAUCACCUGUUCAGCAGUAACCCUGGCUGGGAUUUUGGGGCAUUUAGACGUCUGCAGCAUCUUGUCAAACACACACAGCUUAAUUCCAGCAGGUAAGACUAGAUAGGUAUAUCACACGUAGC
rnacentral:lncRNA from 1 species